AGGAGGGAGGGGUGGCAGUAAAAGGAAGGGAAAGAGGGGAGGGUUGGAGAAGGCGAAGGACUCGGAGAGAGAAAUGGUAAAGAGUUUAAAGAUAUUUUUAAAAUAGGCAUAUAUUUGAAAAUUUAAAGCUUUUAUAAGGGCAUUUUUCGUUUUAAAAACAUGGAUCACUCUACAUUCUUAUGACUGAAACACACUUGCCUUUAGUUUGGAUAAAAAAUAAGCAAUUAUACUUUAAUCCAAAAACUAAAGAGAGCUAUGGGAUGCUAGAUAGACGUGGGAUAAUCCGAACAUGAUCUACGCAAGGGUUGGGCAAUGGCCAAGUGGCCUGCCCAAAGCAGUCUGAUUUUUUAACGGCUUGAGAUUGCUAUUUCGGCCAAUGUUUUGAAAACCGGACCAGUGUGCGAACGAAAAAAUGACCGGGUCACGGGUCACCGGUUCAACCUUAUGAACCGCUAUCGAACCAUGACGUCAUAAAUUAUUUAUAAUAUAUACAUAAAUAAAAAUAAUUAUGAUUGGGGUCUAAUUAUAAUAAUUUAAAACUUGUGAGUCAGUGUGUUUCCAAUUAAAUUAUAAGGGUCUAAAGUGUAAUUUUUUUUGAAACCCCAAUUCCCAAAUCAAUUAAAUAACAGACAGUGAGACACAAGCACGGCCUCUCUCUUUCUCAGUCUCAGACCUCAGACGCGAUUCACAGUCACAGUGCUCUCACACCUCUCUCUCUCCUCUAUCAUGCGAUUCACGCCUCUCUCUCUCAAUGCUCUCUAAGCCAUCAGCCCUCGCCGCCGGCCACACCAUCGGCACUGAAACCACCAUCACCGGACACGAAUCCCACCACCACCACCCCUCUCUCACUCCUCUUUCCUUCCGGCGGGGGUCAACCCACGCACUGAUCAACCGCCAACGGUACGAAUUCACCCCUCUCUCUUCUUCCUCUACCGAGUCACCGUUCGGUUCGUCAAAACCCGUCGACGUUGACGGUAGAGGUUGAACGCGGGUUUUGUGCAGGUUAGUCCGGUUUAUAUACUUACCGGGUUAAAGGGGUGAGGACCGUUUCUUCGGGCUUUUUGCUGUCGACGGUUCAACGGUAUCGAACCGGCCCGGGUUCGGUCGGGUUUUUAAAACAGUAGUGCAUUUUGUGAUUUGCCAGUGGAUGCGAUGAGUUGGAUUUCAUACCUUCAAGCCAUUUUUCCGUUAGACUAGGCUGGGGAAUAAUUAAUUUCUAAACCCGGCUUGGCCCGGCCCGAAUAUCUAUUAUAUUAUUUAUUUUAUAUUAUUGUUAGUGCAACUAUUUAAAUAUUAAAAAGAAAAAUUGAAAAAUUAAAGAAAAAGUGGUUAUAUUUUACUUGGUAUCAUAUUCAUGAAAAAUAUAUGCUUGGACUAGACUUAAAAAUAUUUUUAUUUUUGUGUAAAAUUUAUAGUUAAUGUGAUCACUUUAUUUUGUAAACUAUACAAAAUUCUUUUAAGUACUAAAGAAAACUAGUUUGUUUAAAUUUUUCUUUAAGUACAAUAAAAUAUGAAUGGUAUAAUCAAUUUUAAACAAAAUUAGAAUUAAUAAAAUAUAAAUACUUAAAUAUAUUUAAUGUAUGGGAGUUUGAACCAAUAGAUUUAGUGAGGGGGCUUGAAAAAUUAAAAAUAUUUAGGAUUGAGUUUGAGAAUUCAAUAUUAGGCCUGCGUUGAAUUGGAUCGAGCUUGGAUAAAUAUAAAUUUUCUUAAUGUUUCGGAAUUAUACGUGGUGAUUUUUAAACAUGAAGGGGAUACUACACGCAUGGCCCAAAGGACAAGCGAUGCAGAAUGAAAUUUGCCGCCCCCACCUCCCCCGAAAAAAAAACAAAAGAAUUCGUGGAGGUACUGCAUAUGCACCUUUUACAGUCUUGUUCAAUCUCAAAGUGGAUUUAUAUAAUGAUUGAAAGUGCAACAUUGUUCCCUUCAUGUAUUUACCCUGGCCUAUUAUCAAUUGUAAUAUGUAAGUAUAUACUAGACAGGGAAGUUCUCAGAUAACCAAUACUAUUCGACAAGAGUGGUAUUAUUUUAUCUAUUAGUUUUAUAGAGCAAAUUUUAUGAAACUUUAUAAUAUAUAUAAUAUAAUAAGAUAUUCAAGAAAAAAAGAAAAUUGUUAGGGUUUUAAUUUAGGGUUCACAAAUUACAUAAUUCAUGAAAAAAAUCAAUUUGAUUGGAUAGUUUUAAGGAUCAGUUUUGUAUUAAAAAAAAUAAAUUACAGACCAAGAACUAAAUCACAUAAAAUGAUCAAGAAACUUAAGUGUAUAGACGAGAUUUGUAAUGGUUGUGCCUCACUAUACACUAAUAUUGAAUUUACACUUUGUAUUUAUUUUCUCGACCAUUUUAAGUUGUUUAAUUUUUGAUCUCUAAUAUAUUUUUUAAAAAAAUAAAAAAUUAUAAUUUUUUAUUACGGUUUUUAGUAUAAUUGUUCAUUUUAUUCAUACAAAACUAAUUUGAAUAUGCGAGUUAUUUACUUGGAUCAUAGUGAGUUCAAGCGUGGGCGUUGCCUUCAAAUAUACGAGUUAAUAAAGACACUUUUUAAAAAUUAAGGGUAAAUGACAUUAAACUCCUCACAAAUGUGAUCCAUUUCUGAGUUACCUCUACUGUUCAAACUCUUACACUUAGCUUUGUUCCCGUAUUUAUGGGAUGGCAUUAACCCCUUCCGUUAAGAAAUUGUUAGGAAUUUGGAUGGAAAAAUCAUGUGACUACCACAUGACUAGGUAAAUGAGACUUUUUUUUAACUAGAUUGUCCUUCAUUUUGGUUCAUAUAUUAUGUUAGACAUCCAAACAAGGUCUUAUGUACAUACAUACAUAUGUGCAUAUAAUCUAUAUUAUUAUAAUAAGGCAAUGCGUUAUUCGGUGAAACCUCAAAUUUUGUGUGACAAUCAGAUAUUUGUAUAUAAAAGAUAGCCUAAAUAAAUUGAAAAAUUCAGCAUGUUUACCUUUAAAUGUUAAAGAACUGACAGGGUUAAAAGAGUAAAAUUACCGCACAAUUUUCACAACUAUUUAGGAUCCAACUUUCACAUGUUUAUACUUCUUUCCCACUUCUACGAAAGCCGAUACAGUUUGAAACUCUGAAACUCUUUACGAGUUACAAACUUCCACAUUACCUUUGUAAUUCUCAAUUCUGCAACCAAAUACACCUCUUCCAGCAAAUUUUCUUCCGUUGAACACUUUAAACCUUUGUUUUUUAUAUCGCUUAUGCUACUGUGCAUGUGCUGAAGGUUAAAGAAAAGGGCCACUGAAUAUGCGGCAUCUAUGAUAUAAAACACAAAUAUUUUUGAAUCUUUUAAAUUAUCUUUCACUAUCUAUGUUAAGAAUCCAUUUUAGUUAAUCUAAUGCCUGAGAUUUCACGUAAGACUAUUUUUUUUUAAAAAAAAUAUUAUUUUUUUUUUCAAAUGUGUUGUGAUCAAAUGGUUAAAAAACUUUUAAAAUGGGCAUAUUUUUUACACAUUGAAUUAUUUUGUAGUGGGAACCCACAAAAACAAACAAAUUAAAACACCCCUUUUUUCCCCUCAUUUCUUCUAUACUAGCAAUACUUUUUCAAAAUUAUUAUACUUUCUAAUUUAUUCUCUAUUUUAUAACAAUAUAUUUCUUUAUAUAUGCUUGGACUUAUUUUAAAUGACUAAAAAUUUAACAAGUACAUCUAAAAAUUUUACUAGUCGGAGGUUAAAUUUGAACAAGACAUUAAAAGAAAGAAAAGCCAAAGGAAUCAAGAAUGUGAUAAAUAACUUUCUAUCUCUUACGUAAGUCUUUACCCAGAAAGAAAAGCAAGAUUUUGUAGGUAAAGCAAGAUUUUGUAGUUACCUAACGAGAGCCUUUAAUCACACCCCUCCUGACACACACCCUCGUGGGUCCCAAUCCUUUUUUUCAUGUUGAAUUAACCAAUUACCCCUCACCCCUCUCACUCUUACACCUCUCUUCCAGGCGGGCCCCCACUCCCUUAUUAUUACCCAGCCGCCCCCCCCCCCCCACGCAACACCCCAUCUCGCCACUUGUCCAUCCCCAUCCCUUUCAAAAAAAACAAAACAAACCAACACAAACCGCCCACCCCCACCGCCUCCAUGCGCCACUUGUCCCUCCCCCCCUUUGACCGCCACCACCACCCCUAGCUCGCCAUUUGUCACUUGCAGGACCACUUUCACUUCAGCCCCACCCCCACCCCUCCAACCCUCCAGCUGUAAUUUUUUUUUAAAUUUUUUUAAUUUUUGAACCUAAUUGUUUUCUAUAUAUACAUGAAGAUCAUAUGUUCAUUCUUCCAAAACUUAUUUUACUACUUCAUUUGCAUCGUAGUUAGUUACCAUUAUUUUUCCAAAAUUCAUAGGUUAGCACUAUGGAUGACUCAAUCGUAAAUAGUUGGACCCUGAGAGUGAUAUUCCAAAUGUAGAAAAUGUCUCCCAUCUAGUCGUGACUAUACAGCUGCAAUUUACCACUGAUCAGGUAAGUAUUUGUUUUUCUUGUUUUAUAAUACUAGUAAUUUUUUAUUAUACUAUCAUUUUAUUUAAAUUAUAUCUACUACGUUGUACUAAUGCAUAUUGUUUUAUUUACUGACGAUUUUUCAAGGUAAGAGACGAAAUGUUCAAUUGCGUGCGCAUGUUGGUCCAAAAUGGCAUGGUGGUGGUUUAACGGUCUGCUAAUUUGAAAGGCGGCAACUCCCUAAUACAUUUCUUGGUUGUGAUAGAGGAAAGUAUGACCUCACCAUCAUCUCUGAAGGGCAACCUUACAAAGAAAUCCUGGAACCAAACAAUAUGAUGCCCAUUUGAGCUUGGCGAGGUCUAGCAUCCCUCCAAUGGUGUCAUUUGGGUUUAAUGGUGAAGUGCGGUUUUCAUAACCAUGAAACCGCAAAAUAUCUUGAUGUCCGAGUACCCAUCUAGGCUCAAACAGUGGAGAAACAAUUUUGUGUCGAGAUUGGCUUGGAGUACAAAACCUCGUAAAAUUCUCAAUGUCCUCAAAGAAAGGUCCUCUGCAAAAUACCACGGGAAUUCAGAGCUUACACACUAACGCCC
rnacentral:lncRNA from 1 species